AUGGCAGAGUUUGUGGUCGGGCCACUGGUCUCCAUGUUAAAGGACAAGGCGUCCAGCUACCUGCUGGAGCAGUACAAGGUGAUGGACGGCAUGGAGGAGCAGCGUGAGAUCCUCAAACGCAAAUUACCGGCCAUCUUGGACAUCAUCCAGGAUGCGGAGGAGAAAGGGGCUUACCGCCCCGGAGUACGUGCUUGGCUCGAAGCACUCAAGAAUGUCGCCUAUGAGGCGAACAAUGUCUUCGACGAGUUCAAGUACGAGGUGCUCCGGCGUGAGACCAAAGAGAAGGGACACUACAAGAAGCUUGGCUUUGAUAUCUUGAGCAUCUUCCCUGCUCACAACCCCAUCGUGUUCCGUUAUAGGAUGGGCAAGAAGUUGUGCAUGAUUGUGAAAACCAUUGAGGUCCUUGUUGCAGAGAUGAAUGCCUUUGGAUUCAAGCACAUACAACAAGUGCCACCAUCCAAGCAGUGGCGCAUUACAGAUUCCAUAUUAAACGACUCCGAGAAGGAUAUUGUGAGUAGGUCUAGAGAUGCAGAGAAGAAGCAGAUUGUAAGUAUAUUGGUCGAUCAAGGUAGUGACAGGGAUCUCAUCGUCCUUCCCAUUGUUGGAAUGGGUGGGUUGGGCAAGACCACAUUUGCUCAGCUUGUCUACAAUGACCCUGCAAUCAAGAAGCAUUUCCAGCUCCAAAGGUGGUGUUGUGUGUCCGAUGAUUUUGACGUUACUAAGAUUGCAAGCAACAUCUGCCAGAUCAAUGAGAUCAAUCGAGAGAAGGCAUUGCAAGACCUUCAGAAAGAAGUAAGUGGGAAGAUAUAUCUUAUUGUGCUGGAUGAUGUGUGGAAUGAAGAUACUGAAAAGUGGGAAAAACUCAAGACCGGCCUGAACCACGGAGCCAAGGGAAGUGCAAUACUGACGACCACCCGUAAUGCACAUGUGGCUCAAAUUAUGAAGAUGUGUAUUCAUAGCCAAGAUCUCAGAAGGCUACAUAAAGAUUUUCUGAAAGAAAUAUUUGUGAAUAGAGCAUUUUGUUUGCAAAAGCCAAUAGCUGUUGAGCCAGACCUAAGUGAUGUGAUUGGCAAGAUUCUGGACAGAUGCGGGGGCUCUCCUUUAGCUGCCAAAGCCUUUGGAUCUAUGUUGAGUAACAAGACUAGCAUAAAAGAAUGGGAGGACAUACUAGCGAGAAUCAAAACUUUCAACGAGGACACAAAAACUUUACCUAUACUCAAGCUCAGCUAUGAUGACUUACCAUCCCAGUUGAAACAGUGCUUUGCUUUUUGUGCUUUAUUUCCCAAAGAUUAUGAGAUUGAUGUGGAAAUUUUAAUUCAGCUGUGGAUGGCACAUGAUUUCAUACAAUUGAAGAAAGGAGACAAUCUUGAAAAGUUAGGCAGGGACAUUUUUGAUGAGCUAACUUGGAGGUCAUUCUUUCAAGAUGUCAAGCGAAUCCCUCGAAGAAAAUGGGAGGGGGAGCUCCGUCCUAGAACAAUAUGCAAGAUACAUGAUCUUAUGCAUGACAUUGCCUUGUCUAUUAUGGGGAAAGAUUGUCUUACUAUAAUUGAUAGGCCGGAUGAGAAGGAGUUGUUGUCAGCAGGCCCUACUCGUCACUUGUUCUCAUCAUAUCAUUUUAUCGGAGGCUAUUUGGAUGAUUAUCUGAAGAAAUACUCUCCAACUCUCCAGACAAUUAUGUAUGCAGAGUACAUUCAGGGAUCAGCACCACACUUGUGUAAGUACAAUCAUCUGCGAGCACUGCAACUCUAUGGAUUCAGUAAACUUCCACUUCAACCAAGGCAUUUAGAACACAUGAGGUAUCUUGAUCUCUCGGGAAACUCCAAGAUCAAGGAGCUUCCCAAGGAACUAUGCAUACUGUAUAAUCUGCAGACUCUUAACCUUUCUUCUUGUCCAAAUCUGGGUCGACUUCCAAAGGAUAUGAAGUAUAUGGCAAAUCUCCGUCAUCUCUAUACCAAUGGAUGCACCUCCCUAGAGUGCAUGCCUCCAGACCUCGGGCAACUCACUUCUCUACAGACUGUAACAUAUUUUGUGGUGGGUUCCAGUUCUGGUUGCAGUACUAUUAGAGAACUACAAUACUUAAAUCUUGGUGGUGAAUUAGAGCUAUCUCGUCUUCAGUAUGUAACCAUAGAAGAUGCUAAAGCAUGCAGCCUUGGAAGCAAAAAGAAACUCACACAUUUAUCUCUUAAAUGGAGUGACAAGAGCACUGAGGAACUGAACCAACACAUGAAUGUGCUUGAUGCUCUCAAACCUCAUGUUGUGCUGGAGUUUCUAAGCAUAGACUCCUAUAGAGGUAUUGGCUUCCCGGCAUGGGUGACAGGUCUUACUUUCCUCGAGCAUUUGACCGAGCUGCACCUAGUGGGUUGUACAAUGUGUGAGGAAUUUCCACAAUUCAGUCAAUUUAAGUCCCUUGAAGUUCUUUUUCUGGAAAAGUUGGACAAAUUGCAAAGCCUGUGCAGUCAGAAUUUAUCUGAAUUAUUUCCAGCAUUAAAAGAUCUCCGAUUAGAAAGUUUGGUCAAAUUUGAGAGAUGGGUGGCAACAGAAGGAGAGGAAUUAACAUUUCCUCUUCUUGAGAAGCUCCAAAUUAUGAACUACCCAAAGCUAACGACUCUGCCUGAAGCACCAAAACUCAAAGUCAUGAAGCUAGAAGAAGAGAAGGCUCAGCUGUCCUUGUCAGUACUUAGAUCCAGGUACAUGUCUUGCUUGUCUGAGUUAUCCAUGACUGUCAGUGAUACAGAAGCAACGUCGACACCUGAGCUUGAUCAGGAUCGUGAAGUAUCUCUUUCAGAACUGGUGUUGCAUGGUUGCAGCUUUUUGUAUCCCUCGAUUAAAUCGCAACUUGCAGGAAACGGAGUCUGGAAAUGGUUUGAUCGGCUUGAGGAUUUGGUUAUUAGUAACUGUGGCACGCUCAUCUACUGGCCUGAAGAAGAGUUCCGAAGCUUGGCAUCAUUGAACAAUCUUUCCAUUCGUAAAUGCAGCUAG
rnacentral:rRNA from 1 species